GAGGGAAGGGAUAGAGUCUGGCAUCUGCAGCCCUGGGAAGGCUGCUUCCGGCCAACUCAACAGCCCCAGGAAGGCUGCUUAAUGCUCCCCAGUGCCUCUACUUGCCUGAACUAUAAAAUGCACAUCAUAAAACUGCUGCUUUCCUCCCAUGACUGACACAACUAAGGACCUGGAAAGGAAUGAACAGAAACCAAGAAAGAGAAAGAACAUGCACUCUGAAGUGGGCUGGCUUCCAUUGAGUGCCCUUGAACUGCUGCAUCCUUGGCCCUCAUCUAUGUGCCUGGAGCAGCUGUAGGCAGCAUACUCAGCACUCUUUUGAGCAGAAAUAGUCUGUUACCCUAAGAGUUCUAAAACUGUGGGUUGCAGAUUCCUAACCCUGAACCAGCUACAGAGACUCUUCAAAGGUACUUUAUGGAAACAGAUUCUUAGGGCCAACUACCAGAGAUUCUGCUCCUGGCUAUAUGAGGAGCCUUUGACAACUGAAGCCCAUGAAGACUGAAGCCCAAGGCUGGAGCCCAGCUGGCACAGGAGGACACUGCCCACGCCUUUGAAGCCAUCUGCCUUAGCACUUGGAUCUAGCCCCUCCUGGCCAGCCACAUGUUUUCGCCCCUUCCAUCACCUCAUAGCCGGAAUAUUAUGAGGAAGACUUAAGGAGAAAAAAUGGGGAGACUUGGAGAUGGGAACCCAAUUUCCGAGGGCCAGCGGGACCCUGGCGGUCCAGUGUCCAACAUUGCCCACUGUGCAUGUCUGCCCUCACCUGGUCGUCCAGGGGGAGCUCACAGAAAGCUGGGAUGUACUUGGCCCACUCGACCAAUACCAGCAGCUGCUCCUUCAUGGACUCACACACGUCUGCGAUGUUAGCAAUCUUCUUAGCCCGAAUGUCACCAUUGAUUCCAGAGACAGGGGAGGUAAUCUGUGCGGGAUGAAGAAAAGUGCUGUGAGCGGCAGCAGCCUCCCAGUCCCUGUCCCUUGCAUGAGCCCUGCUCCCUGGGAAGUUUCCAUGUGUGUGCUUCUAGCUCUGAAGGAAGCUUGGUGGAAAGGAGCAGAAGGGAGGACCCUGAGAAGAGGGAGAGGGAUCCUUACGGGCUACUGCUGCCCCCACCUUCUCCUCCACCAGCCCAGCACAGCCCCAGUAUUCCUUGGCCCCGGCAAGGCAAAAAUCGUCACCUUCAUCUCGUGGAUGAAGAUACUAUCACCCAGAGAGGUGCUAUGACUUGCUCAGGCAAAGGACUGGCUGGACCCCACUGCCAACUGGAUCCAGUGAUCCUAUUUCCUUGGGGCUGAUCUCAGGCCCUCAGUGAGAGCAAAGUGCUGCUUGGCCUGUGGGGUGUGAGCUGCCAGAUGAACUAGACAGUGCUGAGAACCCCAGACCUAGGAUGACACAGAGCUGACCCAGGGAUUCCCAAGCACCAGGCAGAAGCUCUGGACAGGGCGACCUGGAGAACCCACCUGCCUGGCAGCCUGUCCGCUGUGCUCCUGACUCAACUUCCCACAGCCUGCGAAGUAAGGCUGCCUCUUUCUGCCCCCUGCUGACCACUCUUUUAGAACUCAAGGGUCAGGGCUUCUGUUCCCGCAGACCUGAAGCUCACCCUCUGCCCCCGUCUGAGUCCGGGCCUAAGCUAUCAGGUGGCCUUUUACCAAACGGCCCACCCCUUGGUGUUCACAAGGCCUCGCUGGGGAGCUGGGAUUUGCUGAGAGGAAGGAGCGAGGACAAGGCUGCAGAAACCUCAGCUUCUGCCUGGGCUUCGCCCCUCACUCUGUGCCGGCCGGAAGGGCGUCUUCUUGGGGCCUCAGCUUCCCCACCCGAGGCUUCCCCUUCAGCCUCCUCCCUCUACUCCUGCUCAUCCUGGAAGCUGCCAGCCAAGCCUGGGCCUUGGUGCGUCCCCUCCCCACUCCGCAUUUGCUUACACCCUGCCUGCCAUCGCUGACCCUUAGAAGAUGCGCCCAGCAGCUGCCCUGGUCAGGCCUGGUGGGCGCCCCGUGGUGGAAAGGGGCAGGAGGGAGGACCCCACGAUGAGGGGAUCCUCCACAGGGGCUUCAGGCUCCUGGCCUUGGUCCUCAGGGCCGACUCCUCUCAGUGGAGAGGGGCCCUCCAAACCCACCUCGGAGCACACCUCUCUGCCUCUCAGCCCUCUUUGAACCAACUUGACUCAUUCACUCCAUCCCCGCCUAAAUGGGCUCUCUCCUGAUCAGCCGCACUCAGCCUGGGGGCCUUGGCUGCUGCUGUUCUAGCCGCCUGGAAUCCCCUUUCCACAGGGCUUAAGGCCUCUCCCUUCACAUCACCACAGAGCGGCACCUUAUCAGACACCUUCUCCAGCCCUCCUCUGCUUCAGCAGCCCGUCUUUCAGACUCUGCCCCUCAUUCUGCUUUACUUUUCUUCUAGGUACCUGUUGUAGAGUUAUUUGUUAAUCUCUUUAUUGUUUUUAUCCCUGAGAAAGGAAGUUCCAGAAACCCAGAACCUCACCUCUUUGGUUUACUUCCGUCACCCCUGGAACCUAGCCCAGCCCAGUGCACGGGAAGUGCUCAGUGGAUGAAUGAGUGAGAAGGCAUUGGACAAGACAGUGCUCAUCCUCACCAGCACCCCAUUUCUCCAUGGAAUGCUGACAUCUAGCUGUUCAACUUCCUGUUCAUUUUACACACUGUUUAAAUCCAAGCAGAGAAGUAAGUGGGGUACAGUAGAGAUGCCAGGUAAGGAAGCUCUCCCCUUGCCGCUCCCCUGCCCAGCCUACCACACCCCUCCCUGGCAGCAGCCACACCCAGCAGGGCGCAGGGGAGGCGGGGAAUGAAAGGGCCACAGUCAGCAGCUGCGGAUAGGGCUCCUCAAGGUUAGCUGGCCUUAUCAGUGCCCAGUGCGAGCUCAGUCACGGAAUGAUGUUUUCCAAAUGUUUGCUCAGUAUUAGCAGGGUCGGGGACCUAAUGUAACUUCCCAUUGAAUAUUAACCGACCCGGCCAGAGGCGGAGAGGACAUGAGCCUGUAUUUCUAGAGGACCCCAGUGGGGCCUGGGGUGCUGAGCUGGACUUCCAAGGAAGGGCUCAUUAGAUGGUCCUGGCCUGUCACCAACCCGACUCUCCUGAAUCCCCUGGGCUUCUGAUGCCACAAUCUGGAUAUCUGUCAUGGGCUUGACAGUGAGACCAGGCAGGUGUCCAUCUCCCCAGCCUCAGUUACCAGACAGCAUUCCCCACCUGCUGUAGAUUCUCAGGCUCUCGGGUUUCUUCCUCAGGAGUCUGCCCCUCCAGCCCCUUCCAGCCAUGGUGGGAUAUCCUCUGACCAGGACAGACCAGCCAGUGGAAUGUGAAGCCCUCCCAGAAGUGGAGAGGACGUUUCAGAAUCGAAACCAGAACAUGCUUCCCAAAGGGACCACUCCAAGUUUCACUCCAGCCAGCUCGAUGCCUGCUCAGCUCUGAGGAGCCUGAGUUCUAGACCUGACUCCUCCACUCCUACCUGUGAAGUGGGGAGGGGGUUAGACUUGAUGACUUGUAGAUCCAGCUGGUCUAGAAACCCUACAUUUCUGGCUCACACUUUCUGAUCUUCAAUAACUACUUUUGGGCUUCAGCCUCAAAUCCUCUGGGAUUAACCAUUAAAGAAAA